GCCGGAGUGGCGGAACUGGCAGACGCACAGGACUUAAAAUCCUGCGAUAUGAGAGUAUCGUACCGGUUCGAUUCCGGUCUUCGGCA
rnacentral:tRNA from 1 species